GCCACCACGCCCGGCUUACCAUCAGUUCAUCUUUUAAAAGAAUGACCCAGAGUGUGGCCUUUUAAAAACUAACAAUUGUGCUUUUUUCUUUAGUGACACAAGGGCUGUGUCUCUGUUUCAGUCAGCGUAAGCCAUGCACAACCUCAGUGGCUUCCAGCGCAGAAGAGUUGUCUUGCUCCUAUUCCACCCCCCAGGAUGGCUCCCUGCUGCUCCACAGGCUCCUCAUCGGGUCUGCAACUCGGGCUGAAGAUCACACUGACUCCCGGGUGGCAGGGGGAGGAAAAGGACCAGGAGAUCGUAGGUGACCUCUAAGCUCCGGCGGAGUGGGAGCGCCCCUCAUUUCUGCUCUGGUCACUGCCCAGAUGGAGCCACGCGUGUCGGGAGGGUGUAGACUCCUCCACAAUCGGGGGCGGAAGCCAAGGGGUAUCCAGAGGUCAGCGAGCCAGGCCGGGCCCUCUGUGGGAUCAACCCCGUGGGGUGCAGAGUGCGGAAGCAAAGAAAGCACAGAGAUGGCAGAUGGAGAAUCACCGACACCACCCCCCAUAACCGAGUGCCAACGCUGUAGUUACCAAGACUUCCUCUCUACCUGUGCCAGCCCCUGGGCAGGGAGAUGGGGGUGCGCUGGUCUAAAGAGCUCUCAGAGUUAAAGCUCACUUACCACAAAAUGCACUUAAAACAGUGUAAGUUCCAAAAAAGGAAUUUCAGAAACAUUCACAUCCUAUUUUGAGAGCCCGAAGGACAAGCCUCAUUGUACGUCUUUCUGGUGCCCUUUCCUCAGUGGGCUGGUCCUCCGGGAUUGGCCUGUGGGGUCCUUCCCCCACCUUUCCCCCUUUAUGUUAUUUUUCUUGAAACAAUCUCA
rnacentral:lncRNA from 1 species